rnacentral:rRNA from 1 species
UGGGGAAUAUUGCACAAUGGGGGAAACCCUGAUGCAGCGACGCCGCGUGAAGGAAGAAGUAUUUCGGUAUGUAAACUUCUAUCAGCAGGGAAGAAGAAAGUGACGGUACCUGACUAAGAAGCCCCGGCUAACUACGUGCCAGCAGCCGCGGUAAUACGUAGGGGGCAAGCGUUAUCCGGAUUUACUGGGUGUAAAGGGAGCGUAGGCGGCUGAGCAAGUCAGAAGUGAAAGCCCGCGGCUUAACUGCGGGACUGCUUUUGAAACUGCCCAGCUUGAUUGCCGGAGAGGUAAGUGGAAUUCCUAGUGUAGCGGUGAAAUGCGUAGAUAUUAGGAGGAACACCAGUGGCGAAGGCGGCUUACUGGACGGCUAAUGACGCUGAGGCUCGAAAGCGUGGGGAGCAAACA